GGGUUGUGAGGUUAAGCGACUAAGCGUACACGGUGGAUGCCCUGGCAGUCAGAGGCGAUGAAGGACGUGCUAAUCUGCGAUAAGCGUCGGUAAGGUGAUAUGAACCGUUAUAACCGGCGAUUUCCGAAUGGGGAAACCCAGUGUGAUUCGUCACACUAUCAUUAACUGAAUCCAUAGGUUAAUGAGGCGAACCGGGGGAACUGAAACAUCUAAGUACCCCGAGGAAAAGAAAUCAACCGAGAUUCCCCCAGUAGCGGCGAGCGAACGGGGAGCAGCCCAGAGCCUGAAUCAGUGUGUGUGUUAGUGGAAGCGUCUGGAAAGGCGCGCGAUACAGGGUGACAG
rnacentral:rRNA from 1 species